CGGGAAGGGCUAGGUCGAGGGGUGGGGAGGGUGCGACUGCACCCACGGGACCCAGAUGGGAGCCUGGAAGUAGAUUGAGCCUGAGGAGCAUUGCCAGAGGAGCUCCGCUGUAGCCAGGGGCUGUGCUUGGCAGUGAGAAUCCAGCACUCCCAGGCAGCAGUGGCCUCCCAUCCCUUCCACGGGGCUGUGCUUGGGAGCAACCUCACUGGGACCAGAGCAGCUGUGUGUUUGCCCAGCACACAAGCACCAUCUCUGGGGGGCUUUCGUGUGCUGGAUUUCCACCCUCCAGUCUGCUUGCGGCUCUCCUGCCCCUGCGGUGUGGGAGGUGGCAGGUUUGUUCCCAUGGCCACAGCAGGCGCUCUGGCAAAAUGUGGCAGGGGCAGUGCCACAACUGUUGGGCACAGUUAAUCUCCAGCACGGUUCUUGGAGUAGAGGACAGCCCUGACAUUUGUGUUUGUGCUUCAGUAGCACGGAGAAGGUCCUCUGAGGGAUCUGUUUGCACCCAAGGCAAGGAUGGGACCUGCCCCACAACUCCCAAUUAGAGCCGAUCCAAGAAAGAAAAAGGACUGUGUGACUGCUGUGAUGAGCUGCAGUUACAGCAGCCAACGGCCUAGUCAUUGUGUGCAUCAUGACUAAGUGUUUCUGAGAUGCUGGGAGGAUAAUAUGGCUUUGUGGCUGUGCUGGGAGCUCCUUCCAUGCGUGAGGGUGACAUGGCAGAAAGCUCAGGGGGAAAUUUGAUAAGUGAGCCAUCAAGGCAGCAUUGUUGGCAAGGCAGAGGCAGGGACUCAUGGCUCAGUGCCACACGCAAGGCUAGGAAGUGCAAGGAGCAAUUGUGAGGACUUCAAAGUCAAAUGGUGGGCUUGUGCAUUUUGGGGAGUGGCUCUAGGCUUUUGUAUUUUGGGGAAUGCGCCCUAGGCAGCAGAGGGGCCAAGCUGGGACCAGGAUGUGGGCAGAAGUCAUCCAAGGGGUCCCCAAAGCCACUGUGAUCUUGCCCUCUUGCAGUAUGUGUUCUGUGACGCUGCACAGUCUUGCAUCCGGUCACACAGGCCUGGAGCUGCCUGGCUUGUUUUUUCUGUUUGCUAUCCUCUAGCCACAGCGUGCCAACCCAAACUGAUAGUGGGACUGAAGAUUGGUGCUGCCAGAGUUCCUGUCUCACAUGUCAGGUCUUCCAGUAAUCCAGACUCCCUGAUUUUGUCCCAGGAAACAAGCACAGAGCCAUACCCUGCGCCGGUGUGACUGCAGCUUGCUCCACCCUCCCUGGGACCUCCUGAGCACAUCAGGGCACCUCGCUUUUUGCUCCCCAGUAACGUGGCCCAAUCCAUAUUGAAUGAAAGCUCCAAGCAUGACCUUGGGUCAUCGUAGACCCGUGAUUCUCAAGCAGCUGCUGCAGCACCCUGAGGUGCUGUGAGCAUGGUCUGAAGCUGUCAUGGAUGCUGCAUAGCAUUAAUACUGUGAGGUAUGCAAACACCUAUGUGUGUUCACAAGAUAAGCAAGGGAAUUUCAAACAGGAAUCCAAAGUGUCACAAGCAUUCUGACUGCUGCAGUUUUCCUAAGUUCUUCGCAGCAUAAGGAUUGCUCCUGUGUUUUUCCCGCAGUCAAAAAUCAAACGAAAGCCAAGAGCUGGCAAUUUUCUGAGGGGACCUUGAGUCUAGAAACAUUGAGAGCUACUGGUUUAGGACAUCUCCCUCGCCAACCCACUCCGUUGCUGUUCUGAGGUCCUUGCCUUGAAACCCACAAGGGUGGCUUCAAAAAUAGGAAAAGCGCAAGAUCGCAGAGGCAGCUUUGAAGAGCCUGUUUCAACCCUGCAGUGGGACAACACUGGAGGUGAAGAUGACGAACUGCCUACGCACUCCUGCUGUGAAUGACGAUCCAGCCUCCAGCACUCUCACACUUCUUGCUCACACGUUCAGAUCAUCACUGUCAGCAUUUCUUCAGAUAUUCCUGGACCUUUUCUUAAGGAAAAAGCUAAGGUUCAUUUGAUUUGCCCUGGUCUGGUAAAGAUAACUGUGACAAAAAGGUUGUCUUUGAUUCCAUGAAUAGUACACUUGCUUGAGUUAAAUAUUAAGAGAAGAAGUCAUCCAAAAUGUAUGCAGAUCAGACCUAUUUCCCCUAUUUCAUCAGUGUACUCACACGUGCUGGGCCAAUGGCAUUCAAGAAAACAAUAACCAAAUACAUCAGAAAUUAAAAAGAUCAGAA